rnacentral:misc_RNA from 1 species
GAUGAAGAACGUAGUGAAAUGCGAUACGUAAUGUGAAUUGCAGAAUUCAGUGAAUCAUCGAAUCUUUGAACGCACAUUGCGCCUGCCAGCACUCUGGCAGGCAUGCCUGUUCGAGCGUCAUUUCAACCAUCAAGCCCUAGGCUUGCGUUGGAGCCCUGCGGCUGCCGCAGGCCCCUAAAAGCAGUGGCGGGCUCGCUAUCACACCGAGUGCAGUAGAUUACUCUUCGCUCAGGGCGUGUGGCGGGUUCCAGCCGUGAAACCCCCUACUUCUCAAGGUUGACCUCGGAUCAGGUAGGAAUACCCGCUGAACUUAAGCAUAUCAAAGCGGAGGA